rfam:Populus trichocarpa scaffold_5_contig_189, whole genome shotgun sequence.
UCUAGAACUCGAGAUAUGGGUUGAACACUGAACAUUGUGUGGGUUGGAGGACAGAUUCUGACUUCUCACUUGUUGCUACAAUUUGAACUUGAAAACAGCAUUUUUGAAUCUUGGACUCUUCAUGAAAGUUUUAGACCUAUGUCUUAGCUUUCCAUC